AGCAACCUGCUCUAGACCCCUCUCUGUGACUGUUCUGUUCUGUUCUUUUGCCUAUUAAACUCCUGCUCCAAACUCACUCUAUGUGCGUGUGCAUGUCCUCGACCUCAAUCUCCUUGGCCAUGAGACCAAGAACCUCAGUAUUUACCCCAGACAACAAGGCUGCUUCAUUUUGAGGGCUCGUCCAGGAUUUGAAGGUGACUUCAUCAGAAUGAAACCAACAAGCUUCAGAUGGUGCUGCAAAUGGAGCCGAAAAUGAAACUGCCCUCCUACGAAGGACCCUUAAAUCAGCCCCGGAGGAAGCCCCAGCUGCUGUUCCCCACACAACACCACUCUCCAGCAGGAAGGAGCCAGAAGAAAUGUCACCGGGUUUCCCCUAGCGGCAGCGCACUAAGAUAGAGAAGCUAAAAGACUGGGGGGAUGCCUGCAGCUGCAAGAAGAUGUGUGGGAGCAGACACAGAAACUCUCCCUCCCAGGUAAGCAAGACAAAGAAACACAGACUAAGAGUCCAUCUGUGUGGUCGGAGAAUGGGAUAAGAGCUGAUAGAAAAAACUCUGCGCUAUAGACAUAGCAUACCUGGUCCCAACUAACCAUUGGGCCCUAGGAGGAUAAGACAUUCCCUCCUCAGAGCCCCCUCCUCAGUAGCCCGUUUAUAAAAACCCUGACAAUUUUACUACCACUUGGCAACCUGCUCGGGACCCCUCUCCGUGAUGGAGAGCUAUUCUUUUCUUUUGCCUAUUAAACUCCUGCUCCAAACUCAUUCUCUGUGUGUGUGUGUGUGUGUGUGUCUG